GAACGCCGUAUGAGGUGAAAGUCUCACGUACGGUGUGAGGUGGGGGAAAAACAAAACUUAACGUUAAUGGCGAAGUUAGAGUUUACCUAUCACCAU
rnacentral:ncRNA from 2 species